rnacentral:rRNA from 1 species
AGUGCGGGGGUCCCUGCCGGCGGCCCGCAAAACUCUGUUUAGCACUGAAUUUCUGAAUAUAUAACUAAAUAAGUUAAAACUUUCAACAACGGAUCUCUUGGUUCUGGCAUCGAUGAAGAACGCAGCGAAAUGCGAUAAGUAAUGUGAAUUGCAGAAUUCAGUGAAUCAUCGAAUCUUUGAACGCACAUUGCGCCCAUUAGUAUUCUAGUGGGCAUGCCUGUUCGAGCGUCAUUUCAACCCUUAAGCCCCUGUUGCUUAGCGUUGGGAGCCUACGGCAGCGUAGCUCCCCAAAGUUAGUGGCGUGGUCGGUUCACACUCCAGACGUAGUAGAUUUUCACCUCKCCUGUAKUCGGACCGGUCCCCUGCCGUAAAACACCCCAAUUUUUAAAGGUUGACCUCG